CCGGAGUCUGUGGAGCUGGAAAUUCACCGGUCCAGGAAGACGUCUUUCCCGCGUCCCAGCACCGGUCCAGAAAGACGUCUUUCCCGCGUCCCAGCACCUCGGGCCACGCUCCUUCGUGAGAGCGCCCUCUCCAAGGAGGCCGGCCCUGGAUAUUUCACCCAAAAUAUUUAUUUUUUCUUUUUUUCUAGGUAAGGUGUCUUGCUCUGUCGCUCAGGCUGGAAAUCUUGGGCUCAAGCGAUCCUCCCGCGCCAGCCAGUAGGGGGGACUACAGGCGCGCACCAUAUUUAUUUAUUUUUACUGAAAUAGUCUCCGUAGAGACUGUUAAAAAUUGCCGAUGUCGACUAUAUUGCAAGUCGUCACGGUGGGGUAUUGCGAAAAGUUUUCAAUUAGCAAUAAUCGCGCUUCGGAUAAACCUCAUUGGCCACCAUACGGCCACCGCGCAACGCUAGCUAAUUAAAAAAAAUUUUUUUUGUAGAGAAGGGAUCUCGCUAUGUUCCCCGGGCUAGCCUCGAACUCCUGAGCUUAAGCGAUCCUCCCGCUUAGUCUUUCCAAAGCGUUGGGAUUACAGGCGUCAGCUAUUGCGCACGGCCCCAUAAUAUUUCCUCGUUGAGCACUGAAGAAAAGAUCCUUUUCCUUAUAAAAAUUACAGUUUCGUGGUAUUUUGGUCCUGGCAUUUAUUGAGCACCUGCUCUGUGCCUGCGGAGCACUUCUGCCCACUUUACAUAAGUUAUAUUAAAUCCUUGCAACAAUAUCAGGUAGUUGUAUUAUUACUCCCAUUUUUCAGUCAGGGUCUUCACACUUUGGUAACCUGCCCAAGAUUAUUGGGUGUGGAAUUGGCAUGCAGGUAGCCCCCUGCGGCACUGGAGUCAGCUGCUUCAAGAGUGCAGGAUAGUUGAGUUCUACAUUUGUUUACCAAACGGAUCCAUAGUUAUUUCCCUGUAUAUAUACCUCUCCCAAUGGGUUGUGAGCAUAAAAUUUGUAAAAUUGAAGCGGGUGUGCAGAAAUCACAAGUGUACAUGUACAUUUCAAUGAAUGAUUAAAAUGUGGACACACUUGCAUAACCACCGAGUUCAAGAAACAAUAUUGUUGCUGGAAAAGGGGUCCCGAUCCAGACCCCAAGGGAGGGUUAUUGGAUCUUGCCCAGAAGAAAUUCAAGGCAAGUUGCAGAGUGCAGUGAGAAGCGAUUGUUUAUUGAAAGCUACUCAGUUACAGAGUAGGCCAUCCUCAGAAAGCAAGAGGGGGAACACACCCUCUUUAUAUUAAACUCUUCUUAUAGAGGGGUCUUAUCUAUGUAAAAACUAAGCUAUGUCUACAUGAGGGUGGGCUGACAGCAUAACAAAAUUUAGUGCUUUUUGAUUUAAAGAAAGUUAUCCUUGGCAUUUUAAUGCAUAAAUACAUCAAAGCAUGACUCUCUCUCUCUCUCUCUCUCUCUCUCUCUCUCUCUCUCUCUCUCUAUAUAUAUAUAUAUAUAUAUAUAUAUAUAUAUAUAUUUUGUUUUGUUUUGUUUUUUUGAGACAGGGUCUCACCUUGUUGCCCAAGCUGGAGUGCAGUUGCCUGAUAUCAGCUCACUGCAACCUCCACCUCCCAGGCUCAAGCUAUCCUCCUGCCUCAGCCUUCCAAGUAGCUGGGACCACAGGUGUGCACCAUCACGCCCAGGUAAUUUUUUUGUAUUUUUAGUAGAGACCGGGUUUUGCUAUGUUGCCCAGGCUGGUCUCGAACUCCUGAGCUCAAGCAGUCCACCCACUUUGGACUCCCAAAGUGCUGGGAUUACAGGUGUGAGCCAUCGAGUCCUGUAACUAUAACUAUCUUAAAUCAUAUAUUGUUAGGCAAUAUUGGAGCAUCUGGACAUUUUGUUGUUGUAGGAUUUUGUCCUUGCAGGCAUUACUAAACUGCUCUUUUAGCCAUAGCAUCUUAUGACCAUGGGUUGGGACUAGCAAGGAAUGUGCCUUGCUAGUUUUAAGAUGGAGUUGGGGCCGGGCGCGGUGGCUUAUGCCUGUAAUCCCAGCACUUUGGAAGGCCGAGGCGGGCAGAUCACGAGGUCAGGAGAUUGAGACCAUCCUGGCUAACACGGUGAAACCCUGUCUUUACUAAAAAUACAAAAAAGUAGCUGGGCGUGGUGGCAUGCGUCUGUUGUCCCAGCUACUCAGGAGGCUGGGGUAGGAG
rnacentral:lncRNA from 10 species